UAACUAGUCGAAAGAUUAGCUAAUANNGNNUACGACCUGAGGGUGAAAGUGGGGGACCGCAAGGNCUCAUGNUAUAGGAGCGGCCGAUGUCUGAUUAGCUAGUUGGNGGGGUAAAGGNCCACCAAGGCNACGAUCAGUAGCUGGUCUGAGAGGACGAUCAGCCACACUGGGACUGAGACACGGCCCAGACUCCUACGGGAGGCAGCAGUGGGGAAUUUUGGACAAUGGGCGAAAGCC
rnacentral:rRNA from 1 species